UACAGAGGUCUCGAGCGUUAGGCGGAAUCACUGGGCUUAAAGCGUGUGUAGGCGGGUCCGUAAGUACCUUGUGAAAUCCCACGGCUCAACCGUGGAACUGCUUGGUAUACUGCGGGUCUUGAGCCACUUAGGGGCAAGCGGAACAAACGGUGGAGCGGUGAAAUGCGUAGAUAUCGUUUGGAACGCCAAUGGUGAAAACAGCUUGCUGGGAGUGUGCUGACGCUGAGACACGAAAGCCAGGGGAGCAAACGGG
rnacentral:rRNA from 1 species